AGUGCUGAGCCUCCAUCCAGUCACACUCACCUCGCAUCAGCAGUGGGGAGUGGAGGCAGACAAACACCCGCCGAAAUCAUCGCAGGAAGAGCAGCCACAUUCAGUUUGUAAUAGCGGCGAAGGGUACAGGACGAAGCCCACGUAUGUCAGCAGCACAAAUUCACUCAAAGGGACACCUCUCAGUGCAGCCCAGGAGGUGGACCACCCUCUGUGGAAUGGCACGUACCUUAGGAGGCUGAAGAC